AGCAGCCGCGGUAAUUCCAGCUCCAAUAGCGUAUAUUAAAGUUGUUGCAGUUAAAAAGCUCGUAGUUGAAUUUCGGGAUCAAUAUAUCGGUCGUGCCUUGGUACGUACUGGUAUCAUUGGUUUCUCCUUUCUGACGAACCAUGAUGUCAUUAAUUUGGUGUUAUGGGAAGUUAGGACUGUUACUUUGAAAAAAUUAGGGUGUUUAAAGCAGGCUUUAGCUUGAAUACAUUAGCAUGGAAUAAUGAAAUAGGACGUUCGAACCUAUUUUGUUGGUUUCUAGGAUUCAACGUAAUGAUUAAUAGGGAUAGUUGGGGGCAUUAGUAU
rnacentral:rRNA from 1 species